rnacentral:rRNA from 1 species
UACAGAGGUCCCAAGCGUUGUUCGGAUUCAUUGGGCGUAAAGGGUGCGUAGGUGGCGCGCUAAGUCAGGUGUGAAAUUUCGGAGCUUAACUCCGAAACUGCAUUUGAUACUGGCGUGCCUGAGGACUGGAGAGGAGACUGGAAUUCUCGGUGUAGCGGUGAAAUGCGUAGAUAUCGAGAGGAACACCUGCGGCGAAGGCGGGUUGCUGGGCCGACACUGACGCUGAUGCGCGAAAGCCAGGGGAGCGAACGGG